ACUGAGCACUGAAGCUCAGGCCUGUAGCCUCAGCUACUUGGAAGGCGAAGGCAGGAGGAUUGCUUGAGUCCAGUUGUGGGCUGUAAUGCACCAGGCUGAACAGGUAUUUGCACUAAUUUUGGCAUCAAUAUGGUGACCUCUCAUGAGCAGGGGACAAUCAGGUUGCCUAAGGAGUAAUGAACUAGCCCAGAUCAGAAAUGUAGCAGUCAAAACUCCUGUGCUGAUUAGCAGUGGGACUGAGUCUGUGGGUAAUCACGGCACUCCAGCUAGGGCAACAGAGACCCUUUUUUU
rnacentral:SRP_RNA from 1 species